rnacentral:lncRNA from 1 species
CAUAGUUUCUACCUAUUAUUCAAGAACAAGUUCAAGCUAUCCAAGAUUACUCUAAGCUUGUCAAUGAUCCAUUCUUAAACCAAGAUUGGAGGAACCAUCCUAAUUUUUUUUGGAGACCCUAACAGACUCAGACCCUGAUCCAAAUUUCUCUUAUGCAAAACUUUCAAAAUAGGCUCCAAUACCAAAACUAUGCCUAUAAUAGAGGUCAGUCUAGUCAGCCUGUCUAGCUAUCCUAUUACAAUCAGCCUUCAUACCCACUUCCUCAAUAGACCCCUCUAGCCAACGAUAGGUUUAGCCAACUUCAACAAAUGAUUAUGAUCCAACAGUAAUCUCUUGCCAAGCUAAAAGCACAAAUAGGUCAGUUAGCUGAGUCUUCCAUGAGAAGAGAAUCAGGUCAAUUAUUGAACCAACCAAUACCGAAUUUCAAAAACAACCCACCCACCUACCAACCCCUUAGACCUAGUCAUCAAUCUAAUGUCCCACCUAAGAAUCUUCAAUUUGAAAAUGAUAAAGUAAUCUCUGAGCUUCAAAGUGGGAGGAUUCUUGAGGACCCAUACCA